UCUUUUACAGGUAAUUUUAUGUCAUUAUGUAGGUUGUUUGUGUACAGGUGGCCUCACCGUUUUAUCGACCAGGCUUCAUUUCUGGCUUUAUCAACAGUAGAUAACAUCCCCAUUCCAGUGUUUCCAGGAUCACCGACUCAGGGUUCGCCGAUUCAUCAUUUCAGAAACAUCUCCAUUUCCUGUUUCUCCCUUGCAACGUCUUCUUCAACAUCUUUGGGAAUCCUUCAUUCUCAAAACCUUUCACCAACACAAACAGUUCCUCCAUAUUAUUUCUCACCAUACACAUCUCUGUCACCGCUAUUACUCUCCAAUCAAAAGGUUACAGAACUGUGGAUUAUCCACCGACUGUCUCUCCUCUAUCUUCUUCUAAUUCCUCCACUUCCCGCCGCUUCUCCAAAACCCUUCGAUCUCUAUUUGAUCUCAUUGGCAUCCUUUCUAUCACUAACCAUCACCGUGGUACCAAAUCGACUACCUAUCUAUUCACUUAGAGGUUGAUGUCUGCCUUCCCAUGGAUUUCUAGGGCAAAAUCAUAGAGGUGCUUCCAUGGCGAAGGGUGGUUCGUCUCUGUACCAAUCUACCUCUUUCCUUCGUUCUUUGAUUUUCAUAUUUCCGUUGCUAUCAGUGGUGUCGACUGCUACCACCGUCGACUGCUACCGACACUAAGAAGCCGACCAAACCUAAAGCCUAACCAUCACGGCUUGCUUUUGAUUACUCGAUUUCUUUUUUCGUUUCUGCAGACAAAGAUGGAUGAAGACAUAUCUGGAGGAGACGAAAUGAGGAUUAGCAAAGUGAGGUAGAUGAUUCAUUAUACUAUUACAACAAAUGCUUAGAGUCUGAGGAAAUCAUUUGUUUGGAUAGGAGAAUGACAAUUGAAGCUGUGGAUGGCCUGCAAAAGGCACAGAUAACUAACCACCUUUGAUGCAGGUUUUCGCAUUUGCGACAUUUAAACUAAAUCACGAAUUUGCCCUUGGCAGAAAGUGUCUGGUUAUUUAAAGCUCUGCAGAGGGAACUAUCACUGAUGCUUUAUCAAUAGGCUCUUAUUCAUAGAAAUUACUUAACAUGAAAGGAGGGGCUCUUCUUGUGUUAUGUGAUGCUCUACAUGUAACAUGAGUAACUAAGAAUCGAGAAUGUGGACCCCAUGAGUCAUUAGUUCAUUUAGCUGUUACCAUACUUGAUGCCUUCAGAGAAAAUAUGGAAGAGGUCGGUGUAUCAGCUGCUGUUGAGGUGGUGAAGUUUUAGUAAGAAAAAGGGUAAAAAGAAGAUAUAGCUAGAUGAUUACCCUAAUUCUUUUUUGGCAGAAAGAUUUUUCGAAAUACGCUGCGUAAAUAAUAGAAGGAUUGAAAAUAAACCAGUAAAUGUAAAAAUGAAAGUACAGAGGUUUGAUUCUUCUAAUGGUUAUUUGUUUUCCGUUGUUCGAUUUUUCAGAA